rnacentral:tRNA from 1 species
GAGUAUAGCUCAAGUGGUAGAGCACAUGCUUAGCAUGCAUGAGUUUCCUGGGUUCAAUCCCCAGUAAAAUCA